UACGUAGGGGGCAAGCGUUGUCCGGAAUUAUUGGGCGUAAAGAGCGUGUAGGCGGUCCGGUAAGUCGGCUGUGAAAGUCCAGGGCUCAACCCUGGGAUGCCGGUCGAUACUGCCGGACUAGAGUUCGGAAGAGGCGAGUGGAAUUCCCGGUGUAGCGGUGAAAUGCGCAGAUAUCGGGAGGAACACCUAUGGCGAAGGCAGCUUGCUGGGACGUUACUGACGCUAAGGCGCGAAAGCGUGGGGAGCGAACAGG
rnacentral:rRNA from 1 species